GAAGACGCCAUGAGUAUUAAACACAAGACUGCUCAAGUUCUCAGGAAAAGUUUACAAUAAAAGAUCUGACUAAAGUCUACCAAAGUAUUCAAGACCACAGGGAUCCCAAGCAGGACCAAUGUACCUGAGUUUUCCCACUGACAGAUCAGGCUGUAUGUGGCCAGCGGACUCAGUUCACCAAUUUACAAAGGCAAAAGAUAUUUUCACAGGCCCCAGAAGAUGAACUCCAAGCUGCUGCUCCCAAACAGAUUCUCCACUGUCUGGAAGACGUACAGAGGCAAGUGCACAGUGUUCUCCAUCUCAAAUCCUUCAAAGUGCUCUGGGAAUAAAAGAAUCCCCACCAAAAGCCCCAGAGACAUCUGUCUGUCUGUAUGGUAUGAUAAUGACAGAGGCUAGUCCAGAUAGGAUUCUGGGAGAAACACAGCCAUUCAAACCUAAUGAAUGGAACGGAGAACUUCUUGUUAUAAUACUGUUUGUUUCUUUGAUUAGUCAUAUCCUUGUAUCUAAGAGGACAUCAAAAUAAAUAAUAAAAGCAAG